GUGUCAGCAGCCGCGGUAACACCAGCGUCACGAGUGGCAACCACGAUUAUUGGGCCUAAAGCGUCCGUAGCCGGUUUGAUAAGUCUUUUGUGAAAUCGUUGCGCUUAACGUAACGUUGUGCAAGAGAUACUGUCAGACUUGGAACUGGGAAGGGUCAGGAGUAUUCAGGGGGGAGCGGUAAAAUGCUAUAAUCCCCUGAGGACUAUCUGUGGCGAAGGCGCCUGACUAGAACAGCUUCGACGGUGAGGGACGAAAGCUAGGGGAGCAAAACGGAUUAGAUACCCGAGUAGUCCUAGCUGUAAACGCUGCGAGCAAGGUGUCGCAUAUCCUUCGUGGAUGUGCGGUGUCGAAGAGAAGUCGUUAAGCUCGCCGCCUGGGAAGUAUGGUCGCAAGGCUGAAACUUAAAGGAAUUGGCGGGGGAGCACCACAAGGGGUGCGGCGUGCGGUUUAAUCUAAUUCAACACAGAGAAUCUCACCAGGAGCGACGGCAGGAUGAGGGUCAGUCUAAAGGGCUUACCAGACGAGCCGAGAGGUAGUGCAUGGCCGUCGUCAGCUCGUGCUGUAAAGUGUCCUGCUAAGCCAGGCAACGAGCGAGACCUGUAUCUACAAUUGCUAACGACUCUUUUAGGAGCAUCGAGCACAUUGUGGAGACUGCCCUGGAAACAGGGAGGAAGGUGCAGGCUACGGUAGGUCUGUAUGCUCCGAAUCUUCUGGGCUACACGCGCGCAACAAUGGUAAGGACAAUGUGAUGCAACUCUGAAAAGAGAAGCUAAUCCUCGAAACCUUAUCCAAGUUCAGAUUGAGGAUUGUAACUCAUCCUCAUGACGAUGGAAUCCCUAGUAAUCAGACGUUAUCAGCGUCUGGUGAAUAUGUCCCUGCUCCUUGCACACACCGCCCGUC
rnacentral:rRNA from 1 species